UUACCAGAAGUGGCUAGUCUAACCGCAAGGAGGACGGUCACCACGGUAGGAUUCAUGACUGGGGUGAAGUCGUAACAAGGUAGCCGUAUCGGAAGGUGCGGCUGGAUCACCUCCUUUCUC
rnacentral:rRNA from 1 species